AGAGAAUCACCAAUUUGAGACCAGC
rnacentral:piRNA from 1 species